AGAAUCAACGCUGGCGGCGUGCCUAACACAUGCAAGUCGCACGAGAAAGGGGAGCAAUCCCUGAGUACAGUGGCGCACGGGUGAGUAACACGUGAAUUAUCUACCUCCGAGUGGGGAAUAAACUGAGAGAAAUCUUAGCUAAUACCGCAUAACACUUACGAGUCAAAGCAGCAAUGCGCUUGGAGAGGAGUUCGCGGCCGAUUAGUUAGUUGGCGGGGUAAUGGCCCACCAAGACGAUGAUCGGUAUCCGGCCUGAGAGGGCGCACGGACACACUGGAACUGAAACACGGUCCAGACUCCUACGGAGGCAGCAGUGGGGAAUUUUGCGCAAUGGGGGAAACCCUGACGCAGCAACGCCGCGUGGAGGAUGAAGCCCCGUUGGGGUGUAAACUCCUUUCGAUCGGGAAGAUAAUGACGGUACCGAUAUAAGAAGCCCGGCUAACUUCGUGCCAGCAGCCGC
rnacentral:rRNA from 1 species